rnacentral:rRNA from 1 species
GGGUGGAGCCUGCGGUUUAAUCGGACUCAACGCCGGAAAUCUCACCGGAUAAGACAGCUGAAUGAUAGUCGGGAUGAAGACUCUACUUGACUAGCUGAGAGGAGGUGCAUGGCCGUCGUCAGUUCGUACUGUGAAGCAUCCUGUUUAGUCAGGCAACGAGCGAGACCCAGGCCAACAGUUGCCAGCUUGACCUUCGGGUUGAUGGGGACACUGUUGGGACCGCCUCUGCUAAAGGGGAGGAAGGAAUGGGCAACGGUAGGUCAGCAUGCCCCGAAUUAUCCGGGCUACACGCGGGCUACAAUGGAUAGGACAAUGGGUUUCGACCCCGAAAGGUGAGGAUAAUCUCCUAAACCUUUUUUAGUUCGGAUGAGGGUGUAA